GACUAGUGUCGCAGUGAAGGUGCUAAGAACACAUAUUCUAGCUAGAGAUGUAUCAUGUUUUAACACAUGGACUGCGACGGACGCAGGUUACUACUGUCGUGACUAACCUAAAGUCGGUACCUGAAUAGUGUCGCAGUGAAGGUGCUAAGAACACAUAUUCUAGCUAGAGAUGUAUCAUGUUUUAACACAUUGACUGCGACGGACGCAGGUUACUACUGUCGUGACUAACCUAAAGUCGGUACCUGAUUAGUGUCGCAGUGAAGGUGCUAAGAACACAUAUUCUAGCUAGAGAUGUAUCAUGUUUUAACACAUUGGACUGCGACGGACGCAGGUUACUACUAUCGUGACUAACCUAAAGUCGGUACCUGAAUAGUGUCGCAGUGAAGGUGCUAAGAACACAUAUUCUAGCUAGAGAUGUAUCAUGUUUUAACACAUUGACUGCGAUGGACUCAGGUUACUACUAUCGUGACUAACCUAAAGUCGGUACCUGACUAGUGUCGCAAUGAAGGUGUUAGCAACACAUAGCUAGGGAUGUAUCAUAUUUUAACACAUUGUCUGCAACUGAAACAGUUUACUACUACCCUGGUUGUAAAAAAGGUAGAUGACUAGUUAAGUUAGAAAUGGAUAGUAAACUCAUACUUACUUUUUUUAACAUUUUUUGAGUAGUUAAAAUGUCCACUAUUAUACAGAACCACUUAAACUUAUUAAUCCUCAAGACUGGAUAAAAGUUUAAGUUACUGAAAUUAUUCACCACAGUUGAUGUACAACAUGGUUCGUCCAUCCACAUAAUCAGAAUUGACUGUAUAAAUUUACAUUGUUAUAAAUUUUAUAACCUAUGGUAUAUAGGUAUUAUAUUAAGUUAAUGGAUAUAGUUUAUUCCAACUACUCUUAAGCCAUGAAUUUUGUUACAUUUUAUAGUUGUAAUUAUAAAUUUGUACCUUUCUUUUUGAAAAAAAUGUUUUUAAUAUUUUUAACAUACUUGUAAAGUACAUAUUGAUAGAGAAUAGUGAAGUAUUAGUGCUACCUUUAUAAAAAAAUAUUUCAUGGCAUUCCUAGUAAUGCAGUAUAUAGUAAAAUACCACAUCAGAAAAUGGCUUUUCACUUUCAUGUAUUGCAUAGAUUUUAAUGGAAUAGUAGACAUAAUAUUUAACCUUGAACACACUAUAGACAUCUGAAGUGUCAGCUUUCACACGCUUAAAGUACCAUUAAUGCCUCUGACAUCAUUGUAUAUCAUUAUUUAUGAACUGUUAACUAUUCUGAUACUUAUGUUAACUGCAAUGAAUGAAAACCAAUGAAGUUCUCUUUCUCUCUGUAAACCUUUGAAUAGUCCGGAAGUUUUUGUUCUUCAUGGCUGUUAACAGAAUGAAUGAAUUUUAAAAUGUGGUUUGUAUAUUAGGCUAGUAGUGUGCACGUAUACAAAAUUAUAAAAUACAACAUUUCGACCACUUAAAUUAGUCUGUUGUUACAAGAAUAUAAUUACCAAAUUAGUUUGUAUGAAGCCAAUCAGAUUUAUGCAUUAUCUACAAAUUUACCUAAGUUGCUUCUUUAUUAAAAUAAUUUUUAAAAUAUCAACAAAUUCAACGUAGGGCCAAUGUUAUAAUUCUAUAUCCCAUUAGGUCAGUAAGCACUGUUAUGAGGGUCAAUUAAUGACAUGUCAUUAAUAAUUCUGGAUAUUUUCAAAAGCUCAUUGAUCAUUGGGUUAGCUCUUAAAUUAAUUGUGUUUUUUAUUUGUAACAUACUUAUUUAUGACCAUUUUGCCUAUCAGAUAUCAGUAGUCACUAUAGAUAAACCACUCGUAAAGAAACCUGUGCAGAAGCAAAUAUCUGAGCAGCCACACCGGCAGGGAGGUGUGGAGAGCGGUGGUGGGGAGUGGGACCAGCAUCUUCUUGUAUUUGUUUAUCAGCUUUGUGGGUUGUGUCUCGCUCUCACAGUUUUGUUUACAUUGCGGCUACUUACCUGUUCUAUAACUAUAUUUAUUUUUAUGUGUAGGCCUAUACAAGUGUUGCAGUCUAAUUGUAAAAUAUUGAUUGAACAGACACAUGUAGCUAUAUACGUAUCCAGGGAGCUUUCAGUUUAUUGUGAGGUUAGCCGCGCAGUGGCAGUGGUCAGUAGGGUCGGUCAGGUGAACGAGUAAUUCGUAUCAGAGUGUUUAAAAAGACCCCGUUCACCUCGAACGUUUCGUUCAAAUUUUCCUGCCGGCUGAACAAAUUUUAUAUUUUUCCAAGUCGGAUACAUUAUAAGUAUUAACAUUUAGAUAUUUAGCAAUGUAUCUGGUAAGUUACAAUUAAAUGUUUUAAAUCAGUUUUAAUUGAUACAUUUACAAGAUUACUGAAACAAUACAUGUAUUGUUAUAUAUCUAUUCAUUCACUUUACAAUAAGCUGUUUCUUCCUCUAUUCGUUCACUUUUUUGCAAGCGGAUCCUUUCGAUCGCUCGGUAAUUCUGUUCUGUCCUUCAUCCAUUCAUUUUGUUCGUUCAACAUGAUGACCAAUAUAACACGCUCUAGCAGGAAGGCUCAGUAACUCUGUACUGACCGGUUCAAUUGAACGGAUCACAGCAGUGAACAAGACCGACUGAGCCGGAUCAGUCAGAUGAUCCGAUAGAGCGAGCGUCGUGCAGUGGUGGAGAUACUGGGAGAGGGCGGCAUCACAUCGCGAAGGGGUAUUUACUCCCCACCCUGUGUGAACUCAAGUCACCCAGGGUCUUUUUGUAAGCGGUUUACCUAUAAAAUGCAUUGUUCUUAUUUGAUUAUUUUUAAAUUAUUGUACUGAUAAUGUUGUGAUACUAAUUGUGUACAAUAAAGAGCUUUUUCAGUGAUUAUAUUCACACCUGUUAUUAUUCUUGGGGUGUGUGAGACUUUGGGGACUCUCACGGGUUUAAAACUUUGUGCAGAAUACUUUGGGUGCUUAUGCUUGUGAAACAAGAGGGUAUGGAUUAUUAUGCAUGGAUUAAAUGGACACCUAUUUUUAAAAACAUUUUAAUGAGAGCACUUUUGGUAAAUCGUGUGAAACUUUUGCUCACUAGACCGUGUUAUAUAAUUAAAACUUAUAAUACAUAAACUUUUCCGUACUGGAAUUUGAAACUGGCUAUAAGCACUAUUGUAUUUGAUACCCUGUUUGUUAGGUACUUUUUUAAUGAUUUCACAUUAAAAAUUGAGAAGAUUGUUCAUUAUUUAAAAAAUUAAACACUCCAAUAAAUUUUAUUCCAAACAAUCUGGUUUGCAAAUAAUAGAGAUGUAAGAAACACAAGAAAUGUUAGAAGAAGUAGUACUGCUGACUGUGAACUGUAAUAAACACUUGUUUAUUUUUUAUUUGACCACUAUUGCUGAUCAUUUUUUAAACUUCACAAAUAUCUUGAUAGAAUACUUGAGUUGAUAUUAUAUAAUCUCUAUUUAAUAACUAGUCAAAGAUAAUGUUGUUAACUACCUUUAUAUUUCUAUUGUUUUCGGGGAUGAUUCCCUUACAGUUAUAUUUUUGAAGUAGCGUGAGAAUGUAUUAGUAAAUUAAAAUUAUUAGAUCGAGAUAGUAUAUUAUAUUAAUAAAUUAUUACGAUAUUAUAUCAUGUAGAAAUAGUUUUAGAUUAUUAUUAGAUCAUCACGCAAAAAAUUAAACUAUGUUAUUGCUAAUAAUGUUAAUACAAUUGACAAUCCUUUUUGCAAGGUUGUUUUGUUUGUGUCUUUGCAGCUACAAAAAAACAAAUUGUAUGUUUUUGUAUUUUGUUUUGAGGAAAUUGGUACUUUACAUGGUAGAAACCUGGAGAAAUCUUCCUUUAUGGACAGUUUGAAAAUUUAGAUUUUUAUCUGUGGACAAGCUACCAUCUUGACAUUUUAUAGAUUUUAUUGUCAGUGGUGGUAGCAUUGAAAAUCUAACAAGGAGUGAAAACAUAUGUUUGCUUUUGCUUUGAGCCAUGAAAUAUACUUGUUUAUAUUUAAAUUUCCGUUUGUAAUAACUACCCCACUAAAUUUUGUUUACAGCAACAGUUAAUAAUUAUGCUAAUACAAGUAGAUAUAAAUAUGGGGUUCCUGGCUCACUUUUGGGACAGACAGAAAAUCAAUGUAAAUCUCUGUACAAACAUAAAACGUAAAAACAUACGUGGAAAACAAAAAAUUAAUAUUUAAAAUGUAAAAAUCUGAAUUUACAAUUACUUUAACGUUACUUUUUUAAGUUUUUCAUGUUUUACCUGUUAAUUUGAAAAUGUUUGUUUGUUGAAACCGAAAAAACAAAUUUAUUCAAGCCAAUUUUGUAGGUACAUCAUUUUACCAAGUUUAGUUAGAACCAGCUAGACAUUACGGCAGCUAUUGUGAUCACUGUUAACUUCUCAAAACUUGGUUUUAAUUAUUUUUAGCAGCUAUUAAUCACUUUGGCAACAUAUUAAAUUGGCCUUCCUCCUUCAGCCGAGUAACUUUUCCUCAAUAUUUAAUCUAAGUUCAAUUAUUUAAAGUUAUAACAUGCAUUGUAAUUUUAUGUAAUUACACUUUACAGAACUAGAAAUACUACAAAAACUGUAUUGUAUAUAAGUAAAAUUGCAAAUGAAUGUAAUAUGGUCUAAUUAAUAGGAGGAAGUCAGUAGAAAAGUAUUGAAGGAUAAGAAAAAAUAUAUAGAUAAAGUAAUUAAUAUUAAACUUGGGUUCUAAACCAGUUUAGUUUUCAUGAUUACAUUGUAUUUCAAUUUUUUACAAUUGUUUAUAUUAAUAUGGAGCGGAUUUAGAAGUGUGAAGACAAAUAUUUUUUAUUUUUGACACAGAUAUGUGGUUUAAGGAAUAGAAGUAACAAUUGUGGAUUCAGUGUUUAUUUUUGUACUUUCACCUUGUAAAUAUGGCAGAAUGGAUAUUAAAUGGAUGGAUUGAAUAUCCGAUGCUAUUUUUGUAAGUCAUACUUAAGCUUAAAUAGCCUUAUUCGCCCAGAAGCAACUUGGUGGUCCAAUAUCGACCAAAUCCUGUAUUCACACUCUAGUAUUUAUUGCAACCGUUUUUAACCAUUUCAGUGUUGGUUUUGCGGAUAGCAAAGUAAAGUGCACUGCUGGAUUUUUGUCCUGAUUUUAUUUACAAUUAUUUUAAUAUUUAUUUUGAAGGGCGUGGUACUUGGAGUGCACCAGUCCUUAGACAUUAUACUUAACUUUAAAUAGUUAAUAAACAAUAAGCAAAAUUAGGCCAACAGAUGUAUUAGGGAACGCUAUGAGAAACUACGUAAUAUGAUGGUAUGCAAUAGAAAAAGAACGUAGCAGUUUGGCACAAUCUAAUCAUCUAAUACGUAAUUUUGUAGUACGUAAUUCAUUAUUAGGCCACAAUAUAUCACUAGGUACUAAUGCUGCUUUUCAUCAUUAGAAAGCGGAAUGUGUGAGAAAUGUCAGCUACACAGCAGGGAACUAUGAUAAUUAAGUUCUGAUCGCAUAAUCCACCCAGAAAAUGCAGUGGUUGCCAGUAAACAGCAAAUGUUUUGUAGUAGUGACAGUGCAGCUGCUGAAAACAUGUUUACGCAUAUACAUGAUUUUUACUUGAAUAUACAGCAGUUAAGAGGUGAAAGGAAGGGUUUACAAAAAUUGUACUGUUUCAUCAUAUAUUUUUGUUUGUGUUAAUGUUUGUUUAGUUACCUUGUUGUUCUAUUACGACAAGAAGUUUAGAAAUCGCAUUUAGAAAAAGGACCUUUGUGCUGCUUCUAGAGUGAUGGGAUAUUCUGGAUGGGUUGGUGGUUGGGCCACCUUCUGUUGAGAUCCAUGAGGAAGGAUUUUGGGCAUUAAUCUCAGUCAUGUUUCCUUGGAAGAAAAAGAAAGCCAGCUCUGUAUCAGUCUCUCCAGUCAAAGCAGGCAGGGGUGGCACGUCUCAUGUCCAGGCUAGCAUCUGCCUUUAACACUUACGGAACCCCACCAACUCCAACAGUCGUCUCCCGCAGUAUACUAGACCUAUUGAUCUACCCUUGCACCCCAAUAUCUCAACAUUUGCAGUCAAUGAUGUGCCGCUCCUGGAUAUCCAAUUGGUUGUCCAGAUGAAAGUGAUACUAGAUUUUUACUGUACCCAGUAUAGUUACCGAAUUCUGUUGGUGCUACAAUCAGGUGCUAUUUACAAGAAGUGAAAGUUCGACAACUAGGGUUAACACUUUGGGUUCGGCCAGGACAGUGCCUAUUACCUAUGUCACGCUGUAAUGCUCUAUUUUUUUAUUUAUUUAUUCGAAUCCAAUGAACCUUUUUAUGUCAAAUUUUUUUAGCUCACAUAAUACUUAUAUUUUCUUAAAAGAAUAUAUUGAAAAUUCUGAUGUAUUUCAUUUGAUUCCUGUUUUCAAUUUAUUUUUUAGACUCAACAUUUUUAAAAUUGAAUUUUUCCAUUGUUUUGAAUAUAUGUGAAUCAAAUUUCAGUUCCCUGCCAGAUUACAAAGAGGGUUUUAAGAAAAGGUUAUUUAAUCAACAAGUUGAUUUUAUCACAUAAGUAAUAAAUAAAUUCGUCCAAUUAUGUUCAUAUUUAUGCAUUACUAAGGUCUCAUGUAUCCUCACUUUCGGACCAAUGCCCCAUUAGGUUCGACAUAGAGGUGAUAGGGGAGAUAAACAUGACCCACAGAGUUCCUAAAUCUACCAACUGGAAGGGAUACCGAGUGUCCCUAGCCAAAGAGUUGGAGGAAGUGGAACCCUACCAGAAAAAUGAACUUGAAAGGCAGAAAGGAGGUUUUGUCUCCUCUCCUGUGGGUGAUGGUGGUUGAUGACCUUCUAACUAGAGCAGAGAAGAGGGGAAUUCUUCAAAAUGAAAAAGCAGAUAUUCUCGCCAAAAAGGGAGCUGGAGUCCAUUAUGGUGGGGCCAGAGCCAGGUUGCGAGAUAGUUUUCUCCAACAGCAAAGCUCUUGUAAAAGAUUGGGAAAAUAGGAUAAGAACCUUUAAUUGGAGUAGAGCCUCAGGAUUAAGAAAAUCUAAAAUGUUUAUCUCUCCUUAUGCUAAAGGGUGGGCAUCUCUCCUAGAUCAGAGUAAGUAGGAUGUAAGACUGAUAUUAGGGAUGUUGACAGGACAUGGCUCCCUUAGGAAAUUAGGAAAAGAUUCCUGGGAGCAUAUCUUCUCAGCCCCAAGGACAUCAGAAUGUCUCAGAUUCUGAGAACACAAAUGUAUGGAAGGGAGGCACAAAGGUCCUUUUUAGGACUAAGCGCAGGGACAAACCGUCUUUUUCCCCCAGGAUAAAAAAAGGUCUCGUGUAAUGGGAUUGUGGAAUUUUUUGUUCUCUUUGGAUAAGAAGCUGUGAAAUUGGACUAGGUCCUAAAAGGACCUUUACACUGCUUCCAGAGUGACAGGUUAUUUUGGAUCGGUAGGGUUGUGGAAAGGGACCGCUCCUGUCAAGCUCCUUGAGAAAGGAUUUUGAGUGCUAAUCUCAGUCAUGUCUCCUUGGAAGAAGAGGAGGCUAUCUCUGGACUAGCCUCUCCAGUCAUUAUA
rnacentral:lncRNA from 1 species